AGUGAAUAUAGUUUAUUAAAAACUUUA
rnacentral:tRNA from 1 species